rnacentral:rRNA from 1 species
UGCUUAACACAUGCAAGUCGAACGGCAGCACGGACUUCGGUUUGGUGGCGAGUGGCGGACGGGUGAGCAAUGCAUAGGAAUCUGCCGAUUAGAGGGGGAUAACGUGGGGAAACUCACGCUAAUACCGCAUACGCCCUACGGGGGAAAGCGGGGGAUCUUCGGACCUCGCGCUAAUUGAUGAGCCUAUGUUGGAUUAGCUAGUUGGUAGGGUAAAGGCCUACCAAGGCGACGAUCCAUAGCUGGUCUGAGAGGAUGAUCAGCCACACUGGAACUGAGACACGGUCCAGACUCCUACGGGAGGCAGCAGUGGGGAAUAUUGGACAAUGGGCGCAAGCCUGAUCCUGCAAUACCGCGUGUGUGAAGAAGGCCUUAGGGUUGUAAAGCUC